rnacentral:ncRNA from 1 species
UUCCGGGAGAGUCCGCGGGCGCGGCGCCGAAGGGGAAUCGCAGAAGCUCUCAGGCAAAAGGACCGGAAC